rnacentral:rRNA from 1 species
GAUGAACGCUAGCGACAGGCUUAACACAUGCAAGUCGAGGGGCAGCACGGGAGUAGCAAUACAACUGGUGGCGACCGGCGCACGGGUGAGUAACGCGUAUGCGACCUACCUAUCAGAGGGGAAUAACCCGGCGAAAGUCGGACUAAUACCGCAUAAAACAGGGGCACCGCAUGGUGAUAUUUGUUAAAGAAAUUCGCUGAUAGAUAGGCAUGCGUUCCAUUAGGUAGUUGGUGAGGUAACGGCUCACCAAGCCGACGAUGGAUAGGGGAACUGAGAGGUUGGUCCCCCACACUGGUACUGAGACACGGACCAGACUCCUACGGGAGGCAGCAGUGAGGAAUAUUGGUCAAUGGGCGAGAGCCUGAACCAGCCAAGUCGCGUGAAGGAAGAAGGAUCUAUGGUUCGUAAACUUCUUUUGCAGGGGAAUAAAGUGCAGGACGUGUCCUGUUUUGUAUGUACCCUGAGAAUAAGGAUCGGCUAACUCCGUGCCAGCAGCCG